rnacentral:rRNA from 1 species
AUUGAACGCUGGCGGAAUGCUUAACACAUGCAAGUCGAGCGAGCUGUAGCAAUACAGCUAGCGGCGGACGGGUGAGGAAUACAUAGGAAUCUGCCUCAGAGCGGGGGAUAGCCCGGGGAAACUCGGAGUAAUACCGCAUGAUGUCGCAAGACCAAAGUGGGGGACCGCAAGGCCCCACACUCUGAGAUGAGCCUAUGUCUGAUUAGCUAGUUGGCGGGGUAAUGGCCCACCAAGGCGACGAUCAGUAGCUGGUCUGAGAGGACGAUCAGCCACACCGGAACUGAGACACGGUCCGGACUCCUACGGGAGGCAGCAGUGGGGAAUAUUGGACAAUGGGCGCAAGCCUGAUCCAGCAAUUCCGCGUGGGUGAAGAAGGCCUUCGGGUUGUAAAGCCCUUUAAGUUGGGACAAAAAAAUCGGCGAUAACAUCGCCGGUCUUGAUGGUACCGACAGAAUAAGCAACGGCUAACUCUGUGCCAGCAGCCGCCGCCG